AUUGAACGCUGGCGGCAGGCCUAACACAUGCAAGUCAAGCGGAUGAAGGGAGCUUGCUCCUGGAUUCAGCGGCGGACGGGUGAGUAAAGCCUAGGAAUCUGCCUGGUCGUGGGGGAUAACGUCCGGAAACGGGCGCUAAUACCGCAUACGUCCUGAGGGAGAAAGUGGGGGAUCUUCGGACCUCACGCUACCAGAUGAGCCUAGGUCGGAUUAGCUAGUUGGUGGGGUAAAGGCCUACCAAGGCGACGAUCCGUAACUGGUCUGAGAGGAUGAUCAGUCACACUGGAACUGAGACACGGUCCAGACUCCUACGGGAGGCAGCAGUGGGGAAUAUUGGACAAUGGGCGAAAGCCUGAUCCAGCCAUGCCGCGUGUGUGAAGAAGGUCUUCGGAUUGUAAAGCACUUUAAGUUGGGAGGAAGGGCAGUAAGUUAAUACCUUGCUGUUUUGACGUUACCAACAGAAUAAGCACCGGCUAACUUCGUG
rnacentral:rRNA from 1 species